rnacentral:rRNA from 1 species
CAGGACGGGUGAGUAACGCGUGAGAAUCUGGCUCUAGGUCGGGGACAACAGUUGGAAACGACUGCUAAUACCGGAUGUGCCGAAAGGUGAAAGAUUUAUUGCCUAGAGAUGAGCUCGCGUCUGAUUAGCUAGUUGGUGGGGUAAGAGCCUACCAAGGCUUCGAUCAGUAGCUGGUCUGAGAGGAUGAUCAGCCACACUGGGGACUGAGACACGGCCCAGACUCCUACGGGAGGCAGCAGUGGGGAAUUUUCCGCAAUGGGCGAAAGCCUGACGGAGCAAUACCGCGUGAGGGAGGAAGGCUCUUGGGUUGUAAACCUCUUUUCUUAAGGAAGAAGACAAUGACGGUACUUAAGGAAUAAGCAUCGGCUAACUCCGUGCCAGCAGCCGCGGUAAUACGGAGGAUGCAAGCGUUAUCCGGAAUGAUUGGGCGUAAAGCGUCCGCAGGUGGUUAUGAAAGUCUGCGGUUAAAGAGUGGGGCUUAACUCCAUAAGGGCCGUGGAAACUACAAGACUAGAGUAGGUUAGGGGCAGAGGGAAUUCCCAGUGUAGCGGUGAAAUGCGUAGAGAUUGGGAAGAACACCGGUGGCGAAAGCGCUCUGCUAGGACAAUACUGACACUGAGGGACGAAAGCUAGGGGAGCGAAAGGGAUUAGAUACCCCAGUAGUC